AAUUACCUUUAUUCCAGGCUGGAGAGCACCACAGAAGGAGGGAGGCUAUUCUGGAUUUAUGCAUUCAGGAACCAGUGCUUGCAACAGAAGGAGGCCACACACUGGAAGAGUCACACCAGGUCUUGAGGAGGAGUAGAGGGGAAAAAGGAUUACCCUCACCGGUGGCGAUGGCUUUAGAAGGAUGGAGAAAGACAGUCCUAAAACAUUCUCAGUGCCACAAUAGCUCAUGAGAAGUCAGCUGCUGUGGCUGCAUGUAAGCAUCUCAUCACAGCAUGAGAGACAGCCCCAGUUCCAGUUGGAUUAAU